UGUUUAAUUUGAAAGUGUGAUAGUGUGGAAAUGGACAAUGUGUAAAUAUUCGACAAUGUGGAAAUUAUAAUGGUCUAAUCUCGUGGUUUAUGUUCUAAAAACUGUAAAUACUGUGAUGGAAUAUUUAAAGAACUUGGUGAGAAAAGAAAAUUGUUCAAUUGCCAUUAAUAAAUUUUUAAUAAUUUGUAAUGAAAUGACAACACUCGUUUCAUUAGAAUCCAUUGUGCAUUGUGUUUUCAUGUGAAAAUGGUAAAGGAAGUUUUGACUCUAGUCUUCUUAAAUAUGAAAAAAUUCAUCCAAUAUACCUGUCAUUGCCAACGUACACAGGCAGCCAUAAGAUGUUAUGCAGAUGCACGACCAUUAACUUUAAAGCUAUUCUAUUUUAUCAUCUUUAAACGUAUGAAACGAAGCAAGAAAUUUGGUUACCAGAUAUAGGAACUUUUGAUCCUUCGAAGAAUUUAAAGUUGUGAAUAUUAAUUUAGAUAAAAAUGAUUUGAGCAUAUCAAAAGAACAUUAACAUUAACGUAUUACGUAACAGGAUGAACAAGAUAAAAUAGUAAGCAUUGAUUUCGAUAAUCUAAUUACGGAUGAUGGAGAUACACAUUUCGAGAUGGUACUUUAACAAUUGAAAGUUUAGAUGGAAAUAAAUUAUAUUUAGAUUCAACGACUCAAUUUAGAAUGUGUGGAAAUGGACAAUGUGUAAAUAUUCGACAAUGUGGAAAUUAUAAUGGUCUAAUCUCGUGGUUUAUGUUCUAAAAACUGUAAAUACUGUGAUGGAAUAUUUAAAGAACUUGGUGAGAAAAGAAAAUUGUUCAAUUGCCAUUAAUAAAUUUUUAAUAAUUUGUAAUGAAAUGACAACACUCGUUUCAUUAGAAUCCAUUGUGCAUUGUGUUUUCAUGUGAAAAUGGUAAAGGAAGUUUUGACUCUAGUCUUCUUAAAUAUGAAAAAAUUCAUCCAAUAUACCUGUCAUUGCCAACGUACACAGGCAGCCAUAAGAUGUUAUGCAGAUGCACGACCAUUAACUUUAAAGCUAUUCUAUUUUAUCAUCUUUAAACGUAUGAAACGAAGCAAGAAAUUUGGUUACCAGAUAUAGGAACUUUUGAUCCUUCGAAGAAUUUAAAGUUGUGAAUAUUAAUUUAGAUAAAAAUGAUUUGAGCAUAUCAAAAGAACAUUAACAUUAACGUAUUACGUAACAGGAUGAACAAGAUAAAAUAGUAAGCAUUGAUUUCGAUAAUCUAAUUACGGAUGAUGGAGAUACACAUUUCGAGAUGGUACUUUAACAAUUGAAAGUUUAGAUGGAAAUAAAUUAUAUUUAGAUUCAACGACUCAAUUUAGAAUGUGUGGAAAUGGACAAUGUGUAAAUAUUCGACAAUGUGGAAAUUAUAAUGGUCUAAUCUCGUGGUUUAUGUUCUAAAAACUGUAAAUACUGUGAUGGAAUAUUUAAAGAACUUGGUGAGAAAAGAAAAUUGUUCAAUUGCCGUUAAUAAAUUUUUAAUAAUUUGUAAUGAAAUGACAACACUCGUUUCAUUAGAAUCCAUUGUGCAUUGUGUUUUCAUGUGAAAAUGGUAAAGGAAGUUUUGACUCUAGUCUUCUUAAAUAUGAAAAAAUUCAUCCAAUAUACCUGUCAUUGCCAACGUACACAGGCAGCCAUAAGAUGUUAUGCAGAUGCACGACCAUUAACUUUAAAGCUAUUCUAUUUUAUCAUCUUUAAACGUAUGAAACGAAGCAGAAAAUUUGGUUACCAGAUAUAGGAACUUUUGAUCCUUCGGUAAUAACUUGUAUCUAAAAAUAUAAUGGCCGUAAAAUAAUAAGUUUGGAUUAAACAUCCAUCAGAAGAAUUUAAAGUUGUGAAUAUUAAUUUAGAUAAAAAUGAUUUGAGCAUAUCAAAAGAACAUUAUCAUUAACGUAUUACGUAACAGGAUGAACAAGAUAAAGUAGUAAGCAUUGGUAAGAAGAUUGAUUUCGAUAAUCUAAUUACGGAUGAUGGAGAUACACAUUUCGAGAUGGUACUUUAACAAUUGAAAGUUUAGAUGGAAAUAAAUUAUAUUUAGAUUCAACGACUCAAUUUAGAAUGUGUGGAAAUGGACAAUGUGUAAAUAUUCGACAAUGUGGAAAUUAUAAUGGUCUAAUCUCGUGGUUUAUGUUCUAAAAACUGUAAAUACUGUGAUGGAAUAUUUAAAGAACUUGGUGAGAAAAGAAAAUUGUUCAAUUGCCGUUAAUAAAUUUUUAAUAAUUUGUAAUGAAAUGACAACACUCGUUUCAUUAGAAUCCAUUGUGCAUUGUGUUUUCAUGUGAAAAUGGUAAAGGAAGUUUUGACUCUAGUCUUCUUAAAUAUGAAAAAAUUCAUCCAAUAUACCUGUCAUUGCCAACGUACACAGGCAGCCAUAAGAUGUUAUGCAGAUGCACGACCAUUAACUUUAAAGCUAUUCUAUUUUAUCAUCUUUAAACGUAUGAAACGAAGCAGAAAAUUUGGUUACCAGAUAUAGGAACUUUUGAUCCUUCGAAGAAUUUAAAGUUGUGAAUAUUAAUUUAGAUAAAAAUGAUUUGAGCAUAUCAAAAGAACAUUAACAUUAACGUAUUACGUAACAGGAUGAACAAGAUAAAAUAGUAAGCAUUGAUUUCUAUAAUCUAAUUACGGAUGAUGGAGAUACACAUUUCGAGAUGGUACUUUAACAAUUGAAAGUUUAGAUGGAAAUAAAUUAUAUUUAGAUUCAACGACUCAAUUUAGAAUGUGUAUGUAUACAAUUUUACCACAUAGUAUCGUUGAAAAUUUUGAAUCGGAUGUGAUCGUUCCUUAUUAGAGGAGAAUAUGAUAUCUCUCUAAUAUAUUUUUAUAUAUUUAAAAUAUAUUCAAUGAUAGGCAAUGAUAGAGAUUGGCAUGGUGAAAUUAGAUAGAAGUUUGAAAAUGAUAAGCGAUAUGUAAUUGAACAAACGAAUCAUAGAAAAAAAUUGAAGAUAAAUUUAUGAUUAAAUUUAUGAAAAUAAAUAUAAAUCUGAUGAUAUCUUCGUUAAUAGUAUUCCUAUGUAUUUAGAAGCUGUGUAUUGAAAAAAAAAAAAAAAAAAUAAAAAGAAGAAAAGAAAAAGGAAAUGCUAUGUAGUACUAGCAAUUUGAAAAAUGAUUUGAUAGGCACGAGGUAAAAGAGAUCAAAAAACUGAAAGAACUGAUUGAAACGAAUGUAUAUGUACAUAUAAACAUAAAUAUGCAUAAACGGGUAAUAUACAGUAAAA